rnacentral:tRNA from 2 species
AAGGUAUUUUACUUUUAUUAGAAAA